rnacentral:snRNA from 1 species
CAACGCUGGUGUCUCCUCAUUUGCGAAUACAUCUUCCGCAUUUUACUGAAGAUUUCUGUGGGAGGGGGGCAUAAUACAAUGAGUCUUAUGUCAUUUUUACUAGCUCUGCCUUCGAAUAGAGUA